rnacentral:rRNA from 1 species
GACGAACGCUGGCGGCGUGCUUAACACAUGCAAGUCGAGCGGUAAGGCCCUUUCGGGGGUACACGAGCGGCGAACGGGUGAGUAACACGUGGGUGACCUGCCCUCAGCUCUGGGAUAAGCCUGGGAAACCGGGUCUAAUACUGGAUAUGACUCCAUGACGCAUGUUGUGGGGUGGAAAGCCUUGUGCGGCUGAGGAUGGGCCCGCGGCCUAUCAGCUUGUUGGUGGGGUGANGGCCUACCAAGGCGACGACGGGUAGCCGGCCUGAGAGGGCGACCGGCCACACGG